GGUUGAGUAGUGUAACGGCCAACAUACGUCCUUCACACGGACGAGCUCCGGGUUCGAUUCCCGGCUCGACUA